rnacentral:piRNA from 1 species
UCCCAGAGGAGGAGGUCAAAUUCGA